rnacentral:tRNA from 1 species
CACGUUAGAGUUUAUUGUUGAAUUUUUCUGUUACAAUGAAAAGGUCUCAAGAUUUUUGGGUGAUGUGAGAG